AUUUACAUGUCACUCAUAAAAAGUAAAAACUAAAAAACUUAAGCCCCCCUUUUACCCCUGCUACAUAGUAAGAGAAGUAAAGAAAAAAACACCCUCCCAAUAAAAUUUACAUAACAGUUAAAAAAUAAAAAAACAUCUAUAAAAAUUACACAGCAUUUCCAAAAUCAAAAUAUGGGGCCUCGAACCUCACAUCCAUUUCAUCCCCAUAAACCACAUUGCUUCUUCUGCUCAAGAAGUGAAGAAGUUAAGCACCACCUCUUCACUUUGGUUGCCGGAAAAUAAAUUCCGGUGGUUUUCCGGCAUAGAACUCCCCAGUAUUUCUGUUCCUCUUUUUCCUUGUUUUCCCUUUUUCCGAUCCAUUCCCGUUGAUCCAUUGCCGGAAUUACCAGCGGCCGUCGAUCUCUUCUCCAUGUAUUCCUCCUAACGUACUCUUCCAGUAUAAAAACGUCCAUGGUGUUUUGAAUUGUAACGC
rnacentral:lncRNA from 1 species